rnacentral:lncRNA from 1 species
GAAGGCAAAGCCGAAGUUGGAAAGGCAAAGCCCAUCAAAAUCAAGCUUUCUGGGAAAACUGUUGUUGCACAUACCAGUCCCUGGACACCUGUCGUGACAACUUCAGCACAGACUAAGAUCCGACCCAACUUGCCCAUCCCAUCCACAGCACUGCGCAAGUCAGGCUCAGCCACAGUGAGCAAGCCUGCUCCUCUUAAUACCUUUCUGUCCAUCAAGUCCUCUGGAGCCUCCGCCAAGCCUCUGCCAGUGGUUAAGGAGUCUUCAUCAGAUCUUCUCUUGCCUCCAGAUGUCAUCUCCAAAGCCUUUGGAGGAGAAGAGGUGGUUCUAAAAGGGUCUCCAGAGGAAAAAGUGGAACUGGCUGAAAAGAAUGAGCCAUCCCAAAUACCUGAGCAAAUGCUGGCUCUGCUUCCACCUCCACCACCUCCACCCCCACCACCUCCACCCCCACCUCCACCACCCCUGGUUGUACCUCAGCUGUCUGCCCCAUCUCCUGCUCAAGCAAAUGCUGUCUUAACUCCAGUAAAAUCUAAUUCGGUGGUAUCUCAGACUUUUAGUCUUGGCUUCCAAGGUCCUAACAUUUUGAACCCAGGGUUGCCUGUGGCCUUCAUGGCCUCAGAACAACCAGCUGCAAUUCCUUGUGAUGAGACAGCUCCUGGGGUGAGUGAGAGUGACCGGGACCAGACCCUGAUCUCUAUGUUAGUUCGGCCUCCACCGCCCCUCUCAAGUGUGUUCAGUGAACAGGCCAAAAAGUUAGAAAAGCGAAAUUCCUGCUUAGCCACGGCCAAUGCUAAGGACCUGUAUGACAUAUUCUACAGUAGUGGUGGAAAGGGGG